rnacentral:rRNA from 1 species
AUCUACAGCCAUGCCACCCUGAACAUGCCCAAUCCUGUUUAAUCUCGGAUGCUAAGCAGGGUUGGGCCUGGUUAGUACCUGGAUAGAAGACCACCUAGGAAGGCUGGGUGCUGUAGGCG